rnacentral:rRNA from 1 species
GUGCCAGCCGCCGCGGUAAUACGGAGGGUGCGAGCGUUAAUCGGAAUCACUGGGCGUAAAGGGCGCGUAGGUGGUGGGGUCAGUCGGGUGUGAAAGCCCCGGGCUUAACCUGGGAAUUGCAUUCGAGACGGCCCGGCUAGAGUUUGGUAGAGGGAAGCGGAAUUCCGCAUGUAGCGGUGAAAUGCGUAGAGAUGCGGAGGAACACCGGUGGCGAAGGCGGCUUCCUGGACCAACACUGACACUGAGGCGCGAAAGCGUGGGGAUCAAACAGGAUUAGAAACCCCUGUAGUCC